CCUACGGGUGGCAGCAGUAAGGAAUAUUGGACAAUGGAGGCAACUCUGAUCCAGCCAUGCCGCGUGCAGGAAGAAGGUCCUAUGGAUUGUAAACUGCUUUUGUACGGGAGAAAACCCUUCUACGUGUAGGAGGCUGAUAGUACCGUAAGAAUAAGCAUCGGCUAACUUCGUGCCAGCAGCCGCGGUAAGACGAAGGAUGCAAGCGUUAUCCGGAUUCAUUGGGUUUAAAGGGUGCGUAGGCGGAUUUAUAAGUCAGUGGUGAAAUCCCUCAGCUUAACUGAGGAACUGCCAUUGAUACUGUAGAUCUUGAGUACAGAUGAUGUUGGCGGAAUAUGACAUGUAGCGGUGAAAUGCAUAGAUAUGUCAUAGAACACCGAUUGCGAAGGCAGCUGACAAAACUGUAACUGACGCUGAGGCACGAAAGUGCGGGGAUCAAACAGGAUUAGAUACCCCUGUAGUC
rnacentral:rRNA from 1 species